GUGAACGCUGGCGGUAGGCCUAACACCUGCAAGUCGAACGGCAGCACCGUAAGAGCUUGCUCUUACGGGUGGCGAGUGGCGGACGGGUGAGGAAUACAUCGGAAUCUACUUUUUCGUGGGGGAUAACGUAGGGAAACUUACGCUAAUACCGCAUACGACCUACGGGUGAAAGCAGGGGAUCUUCGGACCUUGCGCGAUUGAAUGAGCCGAUGUCGGAUUAGCUAGUUGGCGGGAUAAAGGCCCACCAAGGCGACGAUCCGUAGCUGGUCUGAGAGGAUGAUCAGCCACACUGGAACUGAGACACGGUCCAGACUCCUACGGGAGGCAGCAGUGGGGAAUAUUGGACAAUGGGCGCAAGCCUGAUCCAGCCAUACCGCGUGGGUGAAGAAGGCCUUCGGGUUGUAAAGCCCUUUUGUUGGGAAAGAAAAGCAGCAGGUUAAUACCCCGCUGUUCUGACGGUACCCAAAGAAUAAGCACCGGCUAACUUCGUG
rnacentral:rRNA from 1 species